rnacentral:rRNA from 1 species
UGGGGAAUUUUGCGCAAUGGGCGAAAGCCUGACGCAGCAACGCCGCGUGCGGGAUGAAGGCCUUCGGGUUGUAAACCGCUUUCAGCAGGGACGAAAAUGACGGUACCUGCAGAAGAAGCCCCGGCUAACUACGUGCCAGCAGCCGCGGUAAUACGUAGGGGGCAAGCGUUAUCCGGAUUCAUUGGGCGUAAAGAGCGCGUAGGCGGUUUGUUAAGCGAGAUGUGAAAACCGGGGGCUCAACCCGCGGCCUGCAUCUCGAACUGGCAGACUUGAGUCUGGUAGAGGAAAGUGGAAUUCCAAGUGUAGCGGUGAAAUGCGCAGAUAUUUGGAGGAACACCAGUGGCGAAGGCGGCUUUCUGGGCCACGACUGACGCUGAGGCGCGAAAGCUAGGGGAGCAAACA